AUCAGAAUCUAUUCAGAUUUCAGCUGUAAAUAAAAGCAAAAAACUCUUAAAAAGAAAAACUGUUGAUAUUCAAUGUUGAUAUAUUUAAUUGUUUGCCUUGUUCUUUGGAACAGCGUUAACUAUAAUUAGGGCCGGAGUACUUUGCAGUUUUGUCCCAGGAGCUGACUGGUCAUUAGGAGGCAUCAGCCAAUUACCAAUCAGUCAUCAGGAGGCAUCAGCCAAUUACCAAUCAGUCAUUAGGAGGCAUCAGCCAAUUACGUUGGAAGGCCCAUCCUUUUUGAAGGAAAUAACGUGGCGGAUGACGUCAGUGUCAGUGUCCUUGCUGGAACAUGUUCUCUCCCAGUUAUGUCCUGUGCAUCUCUAUGGCAAGGCGUGGGUGCCGAGAAGGAAAGAAAGAUGCCAGACGGUGGGAGGGCAGGAGAGCAGAGGGAGCCGAGUGCUGCUCCAGUGGGUCGCACCGCAUGUCGAAGACAAAGAUUUAUCUCCAGUAAGUCAGGCCUCUACCAGCACCGGACGGGACAGGCUUGGAUGUAAACAGAAGAAGCUACCCAGGCAGAGAAUAGAGAGAGAUGAGAGAGCCGGCUUUGGAGGUUGUUGUAAUAAAAGGGCCAAAUGUCUUCAGUUGGGUUGGCAGGUUUGUUCAGCGGCUGUUCCACACAGAGUAC